GGCGCUGAACAAAUUCUGCUGAUCUUGGGUACUACCCACUUGCACUUCUGAUAGUAUGGGUCCCAGCUGGAAAUGGAGUAAGGUCGCAGCAAGGGACAGCCAGACAAAUGGAGAUGCAUGGCCUGCUGGAUAGGGGUCUGGCUUAUUGGGGAAGAAGCAUAUUCCGGAAGGACCAAGGUACUGCCUCCAGAUUCCUGCCUUGGCUUUCCUUGAUCAUGGAUUGUUACCUGGUGAACAUGGGAGAGCGGGGCCUAAAACUGAGGAGGAGGUCUAAAGUCUCAUGCAGUAGUCAACUUUAUUCAGGAGUUGGUUAUUUCUGUGCAUCUGGUGAUCUACGUGAAAAUUGUUCUCCAUCUUCAAAAUGAACUCAAAGCUAUAUGUGAAAUAGAGUCUCCUGGGCAAAGCAUCAGCUCUAUUUUAUACCAUGUGGAGUCACAGGGAGCAGCCUGUGUUCAGAUGGGAGCCUACAUCAAUUUGGCGGCUGUAGAGACAGAUACCAGACAGCCAAGGCAGAGGGAACUGGCAUGAGGUGAAUGAAGAUACUGUCCAGUCUCUGUAAGUGUUAUUAUGGAGACAUUCCUGACCUUCACUUGUGCCUCUGUGGCUGUCAUAGUAGAAAUGAAGCAGCCCUCUUGGACUGAACAACUCACUGGCAUCCCAGAGGCUUCCAACAGAGGGCAACAGGGGUUGACUCAUUGUGGGACUUCAAGAAAAUGCUUAUACGAUCAACAGGGAAUGAUGGGACUCAGUCUGCGGUGUGAGAAGCAGGUUCUGCAGGUGUUCUCUCCAAGCCCACACCUCUGGAAAGUAGGACACUGUGAGAACUGAGAGGAGGCUGGCUUGCCACGGCGCAGAGAAAGGGAGUAUUCAAGGUCGCUUGCGGGAGACGCAUUGACUCACUCCUAGGUCUCCCAGGCUGUACCCACUGCUCCCCAAGGCCUCUGUGCUGUACCCUGGUGGAGAUUCACAGACCACCCAAAACCUGCAGCCUGGGCCAUUCCCAACUUUCUCCCCUGCUUCUGUAUUCGGUCUCUGGAAGCCUAACUCCUUUCCACCAGGCCUCGACCACUGCCCGUGGCACCUGCACCUCAUCCUCUGGUCUUCCACAGCCAGGUCCCAGGCUUCAGGUUUUGCUCAUCGCCGUGACACUUUAGGAACCACAUUUUAUCCAUUCUCCAAACUGUCCCAGGCAAGCCAGUGGACAUCAGUCACGCCCUGUGUGACAGGUGCUGUGAAGGCGAGAUUGUGAACCUCCACAGGAGUGGCAUCCCUCACGCACAGAAGGAGGGCGGAGGCUUGGCUGCUGGGAGCACCGUCUCUCUGUCUCUGUGGAUGGAGCUGAGCUCUGUGGACAGUUGGACAUCCGCCUGAGGCUGCACACGUCUGCGUCUGGACUCUGCCAGCUUCCCGCUGCGGAGAGCAGCUGCCCGGCUCCUGCUCUUAGAUGUCCUGUCAUCUCAGUGAAAGGAGUGGGUGGAGGUGGACCAGGGACACAGCAGUGGACAUGUGGAGUGCAUCUUCUCUUCUUUGGCCUCAGUGCGACUCAUCCUGCAGCUCUGCAUACUACAGGUCCUGUUGCCAUGACUCCCCACCAUGAUGGACUGCACCCUUGAAGGUGCUGACCUGUCUGAGGCAAUCCUGUGAUCAAACACCAUACUUCAAAAAAUCAUCACGUUAUUCUUUGAAGCUCAGGCUCAUGGUCUUCCAACACAAUUAAUUGGAAUAACAGCACAAAAGAUGACUAAAAGUGAAGAAAAUCCCAGUGGCAAGUGUUAAUGUGAUAAUUAAGCUCACUAAUUAGCAAUGCCUAAUAUUAGAAGACCUUCAUCUUCUUUGGGGCAUAAAGCAACAAGUGCAACUUUGUUUCUGAUUCAUCUCCCCACAUCAGCAAGAGAACAAUCAUCAGUAUUUACUAUGUACCAGGCUCUAAUCUGGG
rnacentral:lncRNA from 1 species